rnacentral:rRNA from 1 species
GACAGAGGGUGCAAACGUUGUUCGGAAUUACUGGGCGUAAAGCGCGUGUAGGCGGCUAUGUAAGUCGGGCGUGAAAUCCCACGGCUCAACCGUGGAAGUGCACCCGAAACUGCGUAGCUAGAGUCCUGGAGAGGAAGGUGGAAUGCUUGGUGUAGAGGUGAAAUUCGUAGAUAUCAAGCGGAACACCGGUGGCGAAGGCGGCGCUCUGGACCGAGACUGACGCUGAGGCGCGAAAGCGUGGGGAGCAAACAGG